UCCGAUUGGCAAGGGAUUGACAGGUCUUUUGUUAUAAGAUUUUGCAUCAUUUUGGCCAAUUUCACUUCUUCUACAGAUAGAGUUGGCGUCUAUGUUUGAGUACGAUCUGAAGUAGUGGAGAAAUAAGAUCUAACAAUUUCCAUUUAAACUUGACACAUCACUCAAGCGGAUAAGAUCUAGAAAGGUCUGCCUUAAUCAAUUCACUAAUUUGCAGAACCAACUAAUGCAAAUGAUUUUGGGGUUACUUUGUUGCAGAACCAACUAAUGCAAGAAUCUAUUUCAAUAUUGCACAAAAAGGAAAAGGCAUUGCAAGAGAAGAACAUGCAGCUAGCAAAUAAGGAAAGGGGAAGACCUUUAAUAACACUAGAGUGAAGCAUAGAGUGAAGGGGUCGAUUAAUAGAAGAAGAUGGGGUUUAGUAUGGAAGUUAAUCUAGUAGGAAAGACUCCUACCGUUGUUCAUAAAGUGAAUAGUAGGAAAGACUCCUACCGUUGUUCAUAAAGUGUUCGUGAUCUCAAUCGAAAGAUAGUAAGAGUUUUGAGCUACGCACCAAUUUAAACUCUUGUGCGUGCCUCAAGGGAGUUUGUGAUUAUGCUUGGUAAUUGAUUGGAGACCACCUUCUGAAAAGCGGCCAUCUUUUGCAAUUAUAAAAUUUAGUAUGCAUGUUGGGGUUUGGGAAUUGUUUAUAAUAUUAAUUGAGGACAAAAAAAGAAGUUAAGUUUGGGGGCUGUAAUUCCAUGGCAUAAAAUGCAUGAAUGUGAGCUUGUGUUGUGUGAUGAUGUAUGAUGAUAUGAUCUACCGCACUCCAUAAUUUCUAAAACUUGUUUUAGCUGAAACUAGUCAAGACCUUCGAAAGGAUUUCAUUUCCAAGUUCAAUUUGUCUGCCAAUGGAAACAUUACAUACAGUCUUAGUGACUUCCCAGAGGCAAGACCAAGUUAUUACCAAUAUCAUUUGCUUGACCUUCUAGUGUAAGAAGGCACAUAAUUUCGGUAAUUAUUUUUUCUGGGCUGCUUAAUCUGAUUAUGUAAUAAACAGAAACUUUGCAAAGAACACGAACGAUAUUGGGGAACUUGAAAGCUCAAAUACAUAAAGGAGUUCCCAUAAUAGGGGCUGGUGCAGGCACUAGGAUAUCUGCCAAGUUUGAAGAAGAUGGUGGUGUUGAUCUGAUAGUAGUGUACAAUUCGGGGCGGUUUCGCAUGGCUGGAAGGGGUUCUUUAGCAGGUUUGCUGCCUUUUGCCGAUGCUAAUGCCAUAGUGCUUGAAAUGGCCAAUGAAGUAUUGCCUGUAAGUUCUAUCUUCUAUGUACCUGCUGAUUCACAAAGUUAAUUCUAGGAAUUUUAUCUACAAAUUUUGGAUCGACGCUUUGCAAGCAUACAAUUUUGAAGAAUAAAUUGUAUAAAUAUAGUUCUGUAUGUAUGAACAUUGGAAGUAAUGUUGUGUUUCCUAGAAGUGAAAUCUGUUUAUCGAUAAAGUAGGAAUUUCUUGGACAUCGAAAAUGA